CGUAGGUGGCAAGCGUUGUCCGGAAUUAUUGGGCGUAAAGCGCGCGCAGGCGGUUCCUUAAGUCUGAUGUGAAAGCCCCCGGCUCAACCGGGGGAGGUCAUUGGAAACUGGGGAACUUGAGUGCAGAAGAGAAGAGCGGAAUUCCACGUGUAGCGGUGAAAUGCGUAGAGAUGUGGAGGAACACCAGUGGCGAAGGCGGCUCUUUGGUCUGUAACUGACGCUGAGGCGCGAAAGCGUGGGGAGCAAACAGGAUUAGAUACCCUGGUAGUCCACGCCGUAAACGAUGAGUGCUAAGUGUUAGAGGGUUUCCGCCCUUUAGUGCUGCAGCUAACGCAUUAAGCACUCCGCCUGGGGAGUACGGCCGCAAGGCUG
rnacentral:rRNA from 1 species